GAUAAAUUCAACGGCCGCGGUACCCUAACCGUGCGAAGGUAGCAUAAUCACUUGUUCUUUAAAUAAGGACUAGUAUGAACGGCAUCACGAAGACUAUACUGUCUCCCCCCUGUAAUCAGUGAAACUGAUCUCUCCGUGAAGAAGCGGAGAUCUAUCUAUAAGACGAGAAGACCCCAUGGAGCUUAAAACUCAACACUAACUGCCAACCCCCAAUACCAUAAUAACCCAGCAGCCCAUAGACGUUAGUUUUUGGUUGGGGUGACUGCGGAGUAAAACCUAACCUCCAUGAUGAACGGACCUAUAAUCCUAAUUCUAGAACCACACCUCAAAAAAUUAAAACAUUAACAUAACUUGACCCAAUCCUAUUGAUCAACGAACCAAGUUACCCUGGGGAUAACAGCGCAAUCCAUUUUAAGAGCCCCUAUCGACAAAUGGGUUUACGACCUCGAUGUUGG
rnacentral:rRNA from 1 species